rnacentral:rRNA from 1 species
AUUGAACGCUGGCGGCAUGCUUUACACAUGCAAGUCGAACGGCAGCACGGGGCAACCUGGUGGCGAGUGGCGAACGGGUGAGUAAUAUAUCGGAACGUACCUUUCAGUGGGGGAUAACGCAGCGAAAGUUGCGCUAAUACCGCAUAUUCUGUGAGCAGGAAAGCAGGGGAUCGCAAGACCUUGCGCUGAUUGAGCGGCCGAUAUCAGAUUAGCUAGUUGGUGAGGUAAAGGCUCACCAAGGCGACGAUCUGUAGCGGGUCUGAGAGGAUGAUCCGCCACACUGGAACUGAGACACGGUCCAGACUCCUACGGGUGGCAG